rnacentral:rRNA from 1 species
AAUCCGAGUAUCAGCGUUAUCGCAUCAUUGGGUUUAAGGGUGCGCAGGUGGGAAAAUAAGUCAGUGGUGAAAUACUGCCGCUUAACGGUAGAAUUGCCAUUGAUACUGUUUUUCUUGUAGCUAUGGUUGAGGUAGGUGGAAUGUGUUGUGUAGCGGUGAAAUGCAUAGAUAUGACACAGAACGCCGAUUGCGAAGGCAACUUACUAAGCCAUUACUGACGCUGAGGCACGAAAGCGUGGGGAUCAAACAGGAUUAGAUACCCUGGCUAGUCCACGCCGUAAACGAUGAUCACUCGCUGUUUGCGAUAUACAGCAAGCGGCUGAGCGAAAGCAUUAAGUGAUCCACCUGGGGAGUACGAUCGCAAGGUUGAAACUCAAAGGAAUUGACGGGGGCCCGCACAAGCGGAGGAACAUGUGGUUUAAGAUGGAUGAUACGCGAGGAACCUUACCUGGGCUUAAAUGUAGGCUGCAUUCGGCUGAAAGGCUGAUUCCCUUCGGGGCUGCUUAACAAGGUGCUGCAUGGUUGUCGUCAGCUCGUGCCGUGAGGUGUCGGGUUAAGUCCCAUAACGAGUGCAACCCUUAUCGUUAGUUGCCAGCGGGUAGAGCCGGGGACUCUAGCGAGACUGCCACCGUAAGGUGAGAGGAAGGUGGGGAUGACGUCAAAUCAGCACGGCCCUUAUGUCCAGGGCUACACACGUGUUACAAUGGCCGAUACAAAGGGCAGCUACUUCGCGAGAAGAUGCUAAUCUCUAAAGUCGGUCCCAGUUCGGAUUGGAGUCUGCAACCCGACUCCAUGAAGUUGGAUUCGCUAGUAAUCGCGCAUCAGCCAUGGCGCGGUGAAUACGUUCCCGGGCCUUGUGCACACCGCCCGUCAAACCAUGGGAGCUGGGGGUGCCUGAAGUCUGCCACGAGAGGAGCGGCUAGGUAAACCAUGAAUGGG